AUUGAACGCUGGCGGCAGGCCUAACACAUGUAAGUAGAACGAGUGGCGGACGGGUGAGUAAGGUCUGGGAAACUGCCUGAUGGAGGGGGAUAACUACGGGAAACGGUAGCUAAUAACGCAUAACAUCGGAGGUGCCAAGAGGGGAUUAGCUAGUAGGCGGGGUAAAGGCUCAACUAGGCCACGCUCCCUAGCUGGUCUGAGAGGAUGACCAGCCACACGGGAACUGAGACACGGUCCAUACUCCUACGGGAGUCAGCAGUGGGGAAUAUUGCACAAGGGGCGCAAGCCUGAUGCAGCCAUGCCGCGUGUAUGAAGAAGGCCUUCGGGUUGUAAAGUACUUUCAGCGGGGAGGCGUUACCCGCAGAAGAAGCACCGGCUAACUCCGUGCCAGCAGCCGCGGUAAUAC
rnacentral:rRNA from 1 species